rnacentral:rRNA from 1 species
AACGAGCGCUGGCGGCAUGCCUAACACAUGCAAGUCGAACGAGACCUUCGGGUCUAGUGGCGCACGGGUGCGUAACGCGUGGGAACCUGCCCUUAGGUUCGGAAUAACUCCCCGAAAGGGGUGCUAAUACCGGAUAAUGUCUUCGGACCAAAGAUUUAUCGCCUUUGGAUGGGCCCGCGUUGGAUUAGCUAGUUGGUAGGGUAAAAGCCUACCAAGGCGACAAUCCAUAGCUGGUCUGAGAGGAUGAUCAGCCACACUGGGACUGAGACACGGCCCAGACUCCUACGGGAGGCAGCAGUGGGGAAUAUUGGACAAUGGGCGAAAGCCUGAUCCAGCAAUGCCGCGUGAGUGAUGAAGGCCUUAGGGUUGUAAAGCUCUUUUACCCGGGAUGAUAAUGACAGUACCGGGAGAAUAAGCUCCGGCUAACUCCGUG